rnacentral:rRNA from 1 species
UACGAAGGGUGCAAGCGUUACUCGGAAUUACUGGGCGUAAAGCGUGCGUAGGUGGUUGUUUAAGUCUGUUGUGAAAGCCCUGGGCUCAACCUGGGAAUUGCAGUGGAUACGGGCAGGCUGGAGGCAGGCAGGGGAGAACGGAAUUCCCGGUGUAGCGGUGAAAUGCGCAGAUAUCGGGAGGAACACCGGUGGCGAAGGCGGCUUCCUGGUCUGCGACUGACGCUGUGGCGCGAAAGCUAGGGGAGCAAACGGG